rnacentral:rRNA from 1 species
AUGGACCCUGGGCGAUGUUCGGCAGCCCAGCUCCGAGUCGUACGGCUCUCGCUUUUUUACUUGGACCCUAACCAUCCCAAUGCUCCAGCAUGUACACGUGUCAACAGGUCAAGUAAGCGAACACAGCGAAAAAGUAGGAUCGCACAGGCGAUCAGGGAAGCGACGAGGGUUCCCUUACGCGCCGUCGAUGACGCCGCCGGUUCCCUCUCUCUCCGUCGGCCGCUCCGGUGGCGGGAGGGAGGGGAGACCUCGGGUCUGUUCGCUAGGUGGGUGUGUGGUAGGGUUAGCGUUGAGGGAGACGCUGCCGAGGCCGCUGCGGUGGUGUCGCGUCGGAAUAAGUUUCUCCGGGCUCCGUUCGCGGUCAGGCGAGGCUUUUGCCUUCGUCUAGGAGCCAGCGGAGUUGGGGAUCCCUGGGUCUCAUCAAGGUCGCGGGCUUUGGUGGCUGGAGGUCCAUCGGCACUGGCCGUUUGGGUUCUCAGAUGGGCGAUGGAUGCAGGAAGAUGA